UCCAUGCUCCUCUGCUGUAUGCUCUUUUGCCUCCUGGGAACAGGCUCCAUGGAUGCUGGUGUUACCCAGACCCCAAGGAAUAAGAUCGCAAACACAGGAAAGAGCACUGUACUGGAAUGUUCUCAGACUAAGGGUCAUGAGUCUAUGUACUGGUAUCGACAAGACCCAGGGCUGGGGCUCCGGCUGAUCUCCUCCUCCCAUGAUAUCGAUGAUAUUAACAACGGAGAUGUCUCCGAUGGGUACAGAGUCUCUCGUAAGGAGAAGCCGAAAUUCUCCCUUUUCCUAGAGCCCUCCACCCCCAACCAGACAGCCCUGUACUUCUGUGCCAGCACCAUGCCACUGGACAUGGUGGCCCUGAGAAGGGACAUGCCCUCGGGGGAAGAGGUGCCUCUUUAG